rfam:Triticum aestivum genome assembly, contig: Triticum_aestivum_CS42_TGACv1_scaffold_252238_3DL
UCCUUGGAUGUCUUCACAUCCACCCAUGGAUACCAAAAAAAAAUAU